UACGAAGGGGGCUAGCGUUGCUCGGAAUCACUGGGCGUAAAGCGCACGUAGGCGGAUUGUUAAGUCAGGGGUGAAAUCCUGGAGCUCAACUCCAGAACUGCCUUUGAUACUGGCGAUCUCGAGUCCGGGAGAGGUGGGUGGAACUGCGAGUGUAGAGGUGAAAUUCGUAGAUAUUCGCAAGAACACCAGUGGCGAAGGCGGCUCACUGGCCCGGUACUGACGCUGAGACGCGAAAGCGUGGGGAGCAAACAGG
rnacentral:rRNA from 1 species